GAUGAACGCUAGCGGCAGGCUUAACACAUGCAAGUCGAGGGGUAUUGGUUUUCGGACCAAGAGACCGGCGCACGGGUGCGUAACGCGUAUGCAAUCUACCUUUUGCAGAGGGAUAGCCCAGAGAAAUUUGGAUUAAUACCUCAUAGUAUAGUACUUUGGCAUCAAGGAACUAUUAAAGUCACAACGGCAAAAGAUGAGCAUGCGUCCCAUUAGCUAGUUGGUAAGGUAACGGCUUACCAAGGCUACGAUGGGUAGGGGUCCUGAGAGGGAGAUCCCCCACACUGGUACUGAGACACGGACCAGACUCCUACGGGAGGCAGCAGUGAGGAAUAUUGGACAAUGGGCGCGAGCCUGAUCCAGCCAUGCCGCGUGCAGGAUGACGGUCCUAUGGAUUGUAAACUGCUUUUGUACAGGAAGAAACACUACUUCGUGAAGUAGC
rnacentral:rRNA from 1 species